UUAUUUUAUUUUUAUUUUUUUGGUGAAAGGAGAAACAAGCAAGUGUACACAGAACAUUACAGUGAGACACAGAAUAUAAAACAAGUGUGGAUUAUUUGUGAACCAGUCAUAAUAUGAUUCAAGCCUUGCAAAGAAACUGUUAUUGAAAGAUGGGGCAGUUAAAAACACUAUUGGACCUCAUCGCAAAACCAAACUUUUGGCUACAGCUGGUGUAACGUUGUGCUGAUUGAGCAGAAAAACCACAUGUGCUCUACACUGAACUGAAAAAUCUAAGAUGGUGAAGUCUUGAUGAACCUGGGUUCAAAGAGGAUAGGAGAUAGUGCCUGUUUGUGGAUUGUUUUGAGUUAUGGGCAGAGGAGCCCACAUUCAAUCAACAACAGUGGACAAGGGGACCAUGGACGUCAUCCAAAAUAAACCAAGCAACUCACCAACUACCUAGCACCUGCUCUCAAAAUUAAUAAUAAUGGUGUAGGCUACAUUAAUUAAUAAUAACUAAUGUUAUGCAGUCAGAUAUAACCAAUGUGUGAAAAGUGUUUAGAACUUUUCUGUUUUGUCAAAUUGUUAAAUGAUUUUGCAUAUGGCAAAAGUCUUUCUAGCAAGUCAGUCCACUGGCAGAUGUCUUUGGAACAUUAUUUCCAGUCAUGAAAGUGCAGCUGUUAUCUACUGAAUGGGGAAAGACAGAAAUCUCCAAAACGGUUGGUCAAGAUUAUGAUCAAAGAACAUAUUUCAAAUCAGCAGUAAAAUCUGACAACACUGGUAUCAUAUAUUGUGCUUCUUUACCUCAGAUUAUGCAAAAAUAAUAAAAUAAAAUAAAAAUUCCUAAUGGGCAUGCAGGCUCUCGAGUUGAUUGACAAUCAGUGGCUCUUAUAAUGUAAGGCGGGACUUCCUUUCUGGAUCGGUUGACCAUUGGGCGUUCCAAUUUCUCCCAUUCAUUUUAAUAAGUGGCCCGUCUCUGCUAAAUACUCUCUGAUAUGGCUAUAAUUAGGGCCGGAGCACCGAUGGUGCGAGGACCCUAUUGUUCUUAUAGGUGUUAUUUUUUCCCCAAAUUAAUCACAUUUUUGAGGGCCUAAACAUACUCAAAAACUCAUGAAACUUUGCACAUCAGAAGUGGCGAAAAUUUACAUCUGAUAUGGGUUUCAGAAUUAGGUGUGGCAAAAUGGCUCGAUAGCGCCACCUACAAACUUUCAACGAUGUGCCCUUUACACUAUGUUUCACCUACACGUACGAAAAUCGGUACACAUGUGUAACAUGCCAAUACCAACAAAAAUGUCUCCUGGACCCAUGCCCUAAACUCAACAGGAAGUCAGCCAUUUUGAUUUUUCUCUUCAAUUUUUGCUCAGUUUUUGCCAUUUCCAGGCCUCGUACUUUAACGAACUCCUCCUAGAGAUUUCAUCAGAUCUACAUAUUUGGUUAUUCUAAUCUAAAGGCCUUGGUGAUGCUAAAUUGUGAAGCUUUUGAGUUUUCACUGCACGGCGUGGCCGUGACGGUCUGACGAAGUUCAAUGUUUCGUCAUGAAACAGGAUGUUGUUAUAACUCAUACAUACAACCAAUCUGCCCUAAACUUCACAAGUUUGAUAAUAGUCCUGGCCUGAAUACAUCUACAUGCCAAUAUUCAGUUAUAGUCAUAGCGCCACCUACUGGCAACAGCCAAUUCCAGGUCUUGUACUUUAACAAACUCCCAGGGAUUUAAUCAGAUCAACAUUAUUUUAGUCAGUCUUAAUCUAAAGGCCUGGUGAUGUUAAAUUGCGAAGCUUUUGAGUUUUCGUUGAAGGGCGUGUCCGUGGCGGCCUGACAAAGUUCGGUAUGAAACGAGUCACAUUUUAGAGGCCUAAACAUGCUCGAAAACUUAUGAAACUUUGCACACAUCUCAAAAGUGGGGGAAAUUUACAUCUGAUACUGGUUGUAGAAUUAAUUGUGGCAAAAUGGCUCGAUAGCGCCACCUACAAAAUUUCAACGAAGCAGCCCUCACGCCACGUUUCACCUACAUGUAAGAAAAUCAGAAGGCAUAUGUAACGUCAACACGUACAAAAAAGUCUCUUAGAACCAUAUACUAAACCCAACAGGAAGUCAGCCAUUGUGAUUUUUCUUUUCAAUUUUUGCUCAGUUUUUGCCAUUUUCAGGCCUCGUACUUUAACGAACUCCUCCUAGAGAUUAAAUCAGAUCAACAUCAUAUUCGGUCAGUCUAAUCUAAAGGCCUUGGAGAUGCUAAAUUGCGAAGCUUUUGUGUUUUCUUUGAACGGCGUGACCGUGGCGGCCUGACAAAUUCGAUGUUUCGCCAUGAAAGAGGAAGUUGUUAUAACUCAAACAGAAAAUGUCCAAUCUGCUCCAAACUUUUUAUAAUAGUCCUGGCCUGAACACUUCUAUAUGCCAAUAUUCAGUUAUAGUCAUAGCGCCACCUACUGGCAACAGGAAAUGACAUGUUUUACACUGUGUUACACUCUUAACAACAUUUAAGUGUUAAAAAAAUGCAAACAAAAUUGGAGUGAUAUUCCCCUAGCACAGCAGCCCCAACAUGCACCAGGGUGUGAGGGCUGUUCAUCGCUGCUUGCAGCUUUAAUUACUGUUGUUUCUUUCUUCUGUGUUAAUGUACUCCUGGAACUCAUUUGAAUAAACCUUUGAUUCC